AAUCUGUGGUCGAUAUUUGAAUUUUCAGUUAUCUAAAAUCUUUACAAAAGACAUAUUUUUAAAUAAUUUCUCAUAAAAGCUUUAUAGAAUAUUUUAGGAGUUGUACAAAUUGAAUUCAGAGAGUAUACAGAUGACUUGUAAGAAACGUAUAGUCAGUAUUAUUUAUAACUAACUGAUAAACUUGAUAUUAGAUGUGAUCUCAAAUAGUUUUUUUAUUAUUUUUAUUAAACAGACUGUAAAAUGGGCAACGAAACCUCUGUAAUAACAAGACUUGAGCUGCAAGGUACGAGCAAUAGCCUUGUGUUUAGAGACCUACGAUACUUGAACAGAUAACUUGUUAGCAAGGCACGAUGUUGAUAAUUUUCACCACCAACUUGAAGAUAUCCUUCCCAAAUACCAAUGGAGAAAAUUGGAAGAUGAAUGGGAAGAUGAUAAGCUUUACUUGACCAGCUCUGUUUAAAGAUAUACCUAUGGUUCGAGAAAGAAAAUAACAGAAAUAGUUAUAAAGAACUACACUAAAUAGGAACUAAAUAAUAAAAUUAAGUAAUUUUAGAUAGCGUUGUUGAAUAUUUUUUUAUCAGAAGAAAUAGAGUACCAUGUUACAAUUUUCUUUAUUUUUUCCAGUUACAAUAAAACAGAGUAUAUUGUGGAAAGAAACUGAUCUAAAAACAGCUUGCAAUAUCCUUUAUUUUAUAUGAAAAGUCAGGGUAAUGUGAAAAAUGUAUACAGAGUGAUCCACUGUUUAGAAAAACAUAUUUUAAGUUUAUUUGUAUGGUUGUUGUGGAUUUCUUUUGAUCAUUAGAUGUGUCAUAAAAUUGCCAUUCCAAGAGAAAUACUAAAUUAUUGAAGCUUUCCACCAGGAAUGGGGCCUCCUUCAAGACUACGUACUAAUAUAGGCCAUAUUAUACUUGAAUUAUACAGGGCGAGUCAGUUUUGGACUUAAAAUCUGUUUAAAGUGUACAGUGAUAUAAUUAAUGAUAAAAAAUCAUGUGAGA